AUUGAACGCUGGCGGCAGGCUUAACACAUGCAAGUCGAGCGGUAACAGAAAGGAGCUUGCUUCUUUGCUGACGAGCGGCGGACGGGUGAGUAAUGCCUGGGAAUCUGCCUGAUAGUGGGGGAUAACUUGCCGAAAGGUAAGCUAAUACCGCAUACGUCCUACGGGAGAAAGCAGGGGAUCUUCGGACCUUGCGCUAUCAGAUGAGCCCAGGCCGGAUUAGCUAGUUGGUGGGGUAAUGGCCCACCAAGGCGACGAUCCGUAGCUGGUCUGAGAGGAUGAUCAGCCACACCGGGACUGAGACACGGCCCGGACUCCUACGGGAGGCAGCAGUGGGGAAUAUUGGACAAUGGGGGGAACCCUGAUCCAGCCAUGCCGCGUGUGUGAAGAAGGUCUUCGGAUUGUAAAGCACUUUAAGUUGGGAGGAAGGGCUUUAGGUUAAUACCCUGAAGUUUUGACGUUACCAACAGAAUAACACCGGCUAACUUCGUGCCAGCAGCCGCGGUAAUACGAAGGGUGCAAGCGUUAAUCGGAAUUACUGGGCGUAAAGCGCGCGUAAGUGGGUUGUUAAGUUGGAAGUGAAAGCCCGGGCUUAACCUGGGAAUGGCUUUCAAACUGGCGAGCUUAA
rnacentral:rRNA from 1 species